UGGGGAAUAUUGCACAAUGGGCGAAAGCCUGAUGCAGCAACGCCGCGUGAGUGAUGAAGGUCUUCGGAUUGUAAAGCUCUGUCUUUUGGGACGAUAAUGACGGUACCAAAGGAGGAAGCCACGGCUAACUACGUGCCAGCAGCCGCGGUAAUACGUAGGUGGCGAGCGUUGUCCGGAUUUACUGGGCGUAAAGGGUGCGUAGGCGGAUGUUUAAGUGAGAUGUGAAAUACCC
rnacentral:rRNA from 1 species